UCCCUGGAUGUCAAGUGGUUAGGACUCUGCACUUCCACCGCAGGGGGCACGGGUUCAAUCCCUGGUCAAGGAA
rnacentral:tRNA from 1 species